rnacentral:rRNA from 1 species
UACGUAGGGGCCUAGCGUUGUCCGGAAUUAUUGGGCGUAAAGAGCUCGUAGGCGGCUUGUCGCGUCGUCCGUGAAAACCAGGGGCUCAACCCCUGGCUUGCGGUCGAUACGGGCAGGCUAGAGUUCGGUAGGGGAGACUGGAAUUCCUGGUGUAGCGGUGAAAUGCGCAGAUAUCAGGAGGAACACCGGUGGCGAAGGCGGGUCUCUGGGCCGAUACUGACGCUGAGGAGCGAAAGCGUGGGGAGCGAACAGG